rnacentral:sRNA from 1 species
UCAUCACCAUCAUCACCCUAUCUAGUCUUUCGGGGAGAUUUACGUAUACCCGGGAGCAAGAUUACUCCCGGAGGUUAAGUCAAAAGAAUUUAGAUUUAAACCCUCGGGAUGACAGAGUCUUCCGAGGGUUUUUUAGU